rnacentral:rRNA from 1 species
UAGUCCACGCCGUAAACGAUGUGUGCUAGUUGUCGGGUCCAUAGGAUUCGGUGACGCAGUUAACGCACUAAGCACACCGCCUGGGGAGUGCGGUCGCAAGAUUAAAACUCAAAGGAAUUGACGGGGACCCGCACAAGCGGUGGGGCAUGUUGUUUAAUUCGACACAACGCGAAGAACCUUACCUACACUUGACAUACUCGUCGGGGCUUCCAGAAAUGAAUCCUUCCUUCGGGACGUAUAGUAAGGUGCUGCAUGGUUGUCGUCAGCUCGUGCCGUGAGGUGUUGGGUUAAGUCCCGCAACGAGCGCAACCCCUAUUUUUAGUUGCCAGCGAGUAAUGUCGGGGACUCUAAAGAUACUGCCUGCGUAGGCAGAGAGGAAGGCGGGGAUGACGUCAAAUCAUCAUGGCCUUUAUGCCUAGGGCUACACACGUACUACAAUGGUAAUGACAAAGGGUUGCUACUUGGUGACAAGAUGCCAAUCCCAAAAACAUUAUCUCAGUUCGGAUUGGAGU